UGGAUUCGCUAGUAAUCGCGCAUCAGCCAUGGCGCGGUGAAUACGUUCCCGGGCCUUGUACACACCGCCCGUCAAGCCAUGGGAGCCGAGGGCGCUUGAAGUGCGUCGCCGCGAGGCGCGCCCUAGAGCGAAAUCGGUGACUGGGGCUAAGUCGUAACAAGGUAUC
rnacentral:rRNA from 1 species